AGAGUUUGAUCCUGGCUCAGAGCGAACGCUGGCGGCGUGCUUAACACAUGCAAGUCGUGCGGGAAAGGGACUUUCGGGUCCUGAGUAGAGCGGCGCACGGGUGCGUAAGACGCGGGUGACCUAUCCGCGAGGCGGGGAUAACCCUUCGAAAGAGGGGCUAAUACCGGAUGUGUCCACGGGCAGAGAUGCCCGGGGGCAAAGGGUGCUCCUUGAUAGGGGCAUCCCCUCACGGCGGGGCCCGCGGCCUAUCAGCUAGUUGGUAAGGUAAUGGCUUACCAAGGCGAAGACGGGUAGCUGGUCUGAGAGGAUGGCCAGCCACACGGGGACUGAGACACGGCCCCGACUCCUACGGGAGGCAGCAGUGGGGAAUAUUGGGCAAUGGGCGCAAGCCUGACCCAGCGACGCCGCGUGGGUGAUGAAGGCCUUCGGGUCGUAAAGCCCUGUCGGGUGGAAAGAACGGUGGGGGGGCGAAUAGCCUCUUCAUGUGACGGUACCACCGAAGGAAGCACCGGCCAAUUCCGUGCCAGCCGCCGCGGUAAUUC
rnacentral:rRNA from 1 species